AAUAUUGGACAAUGGGCGAAAGCCUGAUCCAGCCAUGCCGCGUGUGUGAAGAAGGUCUUCGGAUUGUAAAGCACUUUAAGUUGGGAGGAAGGGCAGUAAGUUAAUACCUUGCUGUUUUGAAGUUACCGACAGAAUAAGUCCCGGAUAACUUCGUGUCAGCAGCCGUGGUAAUACGAAGGGUGCAAGCGUUAAGUGGAAUUACUGGGCGUAAAGCGAGCGUAGGUGGUUUGUUAAGUUGGAAGUGAAAGCCCCGGGCUCCACCUGGGAACUGCUUUCAUAACUGCUGAGCUAGAGUACGGUAGAGGGUAGUGGAAUUUCCUGUGUAGCGGUGAAAUGCGUAGAUAUAGGAAGGAACACCAGUGGCGAAGGCGACUACCUGGACUGAUACUGACACUGAGGUGCGAAAGCGUGGGGAGCAAAC
rnacentral:rRNA from 1 species